GUGCUUGCUUCAGCAUCACAUAUACUAAAAUUGGAAUGAAUUAGAAAAUUAGCAUGGCCUCUGCACAAGAUGACAAUGAAUUAUGAAUUUGUGAAGAGCUCUGUGUUUUU
ensembl:snRNA U6 U6 spliceosomal RNA